rnacentral:tRNA from 1 species
GGAAGGGUCGCAUAGCGGUCUAGUGCACGCGCUUGGAAAGCGCGCAAGGGGUCAAACCCUUCAGGAGUUCGAAUCUCCUCCCUUCCGCCA